GACUGACUGCCAAGGAGGAAGGAUGCUUGGUGGAGGCUCCGGCCCAGGAGCCAUUACAGUCCUUACAUGCGGGAGCUGGAGAUUGCGAGACUUAGACGGGAGACCUGUUGCCUACAGAUGAUUGGCGGGUGUUGGAAUCCCAGGGAGUAACCUGCAUCAAGGAACCCUGACACCACAUGGACGAGAGCUACAGGAAGCAUAGCAGGAAGUAGUCCAGGGAAGUGGAGUGAGUAGUAUUUCCUACCCAUGGAAGUUAUUGUACAGACACAAGAUGAGAGCCAAUCCGUGCCACAAGGAGCUUCCAUGCUAAAGAGACUUGAUGGACAACGUAUGGGGAAACUGAGGCACAGAGACUUCAAGUGAUUUGUGCAGGGUCACGGAAUUGGGUCAGAGGAAGAAUAAAAAGUAAGACUCAGGUAUCCUGAGUCCCAGG